CUGAAUAACUACGCUGAUCGCCCGGUCGCGUACCGGCGACAUAUCCUUCAAGUGUCUGCCUUAUCAACUUUCGAUGGUAGUUUAUAUGACUACCAUGGUUGUAACGGGGAACGGAGAAUAAGGGUUCGACUCCGGAGAGGGAGCCUGAGAAACGGCUACCACAUCCAAGGAAGGCAGCAGGCGCGCAAAUUACCCACUCUCAGAACGAGGAGGUAGUGACGAAAAAUAACGAGACAGUUCUCUAUGAGGUCUGUCAUCGGAAUGGGUACAAUCUAAACCCUUUAACGAGGAUCUAUUGGAGGGCAAGUCUGGUGCCAGCAGCCGCGGUAAUUCCAGCUCCAAUAGCGUAUAUUAAAGUUGUUGCGGUUAAAAAG
rnacentral:rRNA from 1 species